rnacentral:tRNA from 1 species
UCUGAUUUAACAUAUUAUUAAUGUGGUAGAUUGUAAAUCUGCUAAAAGCUAAAAUUG